rnacentral:piRNA from 1 species
CAUCUGUUAUACAGGGUUUGUUGAAC